AUCGCUUCUUGGCCCCCUUUGGUUCGGAAUAUGUGUAGUUUCUGUUCUUAUCAGUUUAAUCGUUGAUAUCUGAUCAGGGCAGCACGGUGGCACAGUGGUUAGCACUGCUGCCUCACAGCGCCAGAGACCUGGGUUCAAUUCCCGCCUCAGGCGACUGACUGUGUGGAGUUUGCACAUUCUCCCCGUGUCUGCGUGGGUUU